rnacentral:lncRNA from 1 species
CCUGGGCGGGACUGCAGGCCCCUCUACUGGGGUUCAGCACCCUAGCAAUUCAAGAUCUCUUCCCACACGCCACCUGCCCCUGGCACGCCCUCUACCCCAGGCUCCCAUUCUUGCCCCCAGCUGGUGCUGACUGCCCCCACCCUGCCCAAGAUUCUACCCAGGCACGUCCCAGUCUAGCUCCCUCCCAACUUGCUGCUGAAUCACUCUAUGCCAGGGAGCCACAGGAAGCAGAAGGGGAGGGGAAGGCCCGUCUCCCUCCAGGGCCGCCAGAAGCUAAUGUCAUUGCAAAGGCUUCCAGGCUGUAUCCUGACUCGGUUCCAUCAGCCUUCUCCUCAGCUGGUACUGAGGAUGACUAAGACCCCAGAGAGUGCCCUGGCAAGAAGGAUGUGCACGCAGGAACUUCAAGCCUGAUGUUCUCACCCUCCUGUCUGCUGG